rnacentral:rRNA from 1 species
GAACGCGAAGAACCUUACCAAGUCUUGACAUCCUUUGACCACUCUAGAGAUAGAGCUUUCCCUUCGGGGACAAAGUGACAGGUGGUGCAUGGUUGUCGUCAGCUCGUGUCGUGAGAUGUUGGGUUAAGUCCCGCAACGAGCGCAACCCUUAUUACUAGUUGCCAGCAUUGAGUUGGGCACUCUAGUGAGACUGCCGGUGACAAACCGGAGGAAGGUGGGGAUGACGUCAAAUCAUCAUGCCCCUUAUGACUUGGGCUACACACGUGCUACAAUGGAUGGUACAACGAGCAGCGAACUCGCGAGGGUAAGCGAAUCUCUUAAAGCCAUUCUCAGUUCGGAUUGUAGGCUGCAACUCGCCUACAUGAAGCCGGAAUCGCUAGUAAUCGCGGAUCAGCACGCCGCGGUGAAUACGUUCCCGGGUCUUGUACACACC